rnacentral:rRNA from 1 species
UACGUAGGGCGCAAGCGUUGUCCGGAAUUAUUGGGCGUAAAGAGCUCGUAGGCGGCUUGUCACGUCGGAUGUGAAAGCCCGGGGCUUAACCCCGGGUCUGCAUUCGAUACGGGCAGGCUAGAGUGUGGUAGGGGAGAUCGGAAUUCCUGGUGUAGCGGUGAAAUGCGCAGAUAUCAGGAGGAACACCGGUGGCGAAGGCGGGUCUCUGGGCCGGUACCGACGCUGAGGAGCGAAAGCGUGGGGAGCGAACAGG